UCAGACAUGGUGUAGCGGUAACAUACCUGCUUUAUCUGCGCGGGAAAAGUCUUAGAUUAAGCAGAGGUCCCGAGUUCGAUCCUCGGUGUCUGGA